rnacentral:misc_RNA from 1 species
GGAUGAAGAACGUAGUGAAAUGCGAUAAGUAGUGUGAAUUGCAGAAUUCAGUGAAUCAUCGAAUCUUUGAACGCACAUUGCGCCCCUUGGUAUUCCAUGGGGCAUGCCUGUUCGAGCGUCAUUUGUACCUUCAAGCCUUGCUUGGUGUUGGGUGUUUGUCUCGCCUCUGCGCGCAGACUCGCCUCAAAACAAUUGGCAGCCGGCGUAUUGAUUUCGGAGCGCAGUACAUCUCGCGCUUUGCACUCAGAACGACGACGUCCAAAAGUACAUUUUUACACUCUUGACCUCGGAUCAGGUAGGGAUACCCGCUGAACUUAAGCAUAUCAAUAAGCGGAGGA